rnacentral:rRNA from 1 species
GACGAACGCUGGCGGCGUGCUUAACACAUGCGAGUCGAACGGAAAGGCCCAGCUUGUUGGGUACUCGAGUGGCGAACGGGUGAGUAACACGUGGGUGAUCUGCCCCAAACUUCGGGAUAAGCCCUGGGAAACUGGGUCUAAUACCGGAUAUGACCUGCUCCUGCAUGGGGGUUGGUGGAAAGCUUUUGCGGUUUGGGAUGGGCCCGCGGCCUAUCAGCUUGUUGGUGGGGUAAUGGCCUACCAAGGCGACGACGGGUAGCCGACCUGAGAGGGUGAUCGGCCACACUGGGACUGAGACACGGCCCAGACUCCUACGGGGGGCAGCAGUGGGGAAUAUUGCACAAUGGGCGCAAGCCUGAUGCAGCGACGCCCGCG